rnacentral:lncRNA from 1 species
CUGGCGUCCUUCUUUCUCCCUCCUCCUUCAUCCAUUUCUCCUUCUUCUCCCUUUCCUUCUCAUCCAUUUCUCCUUCUCCUCCCCUUCCUUCUCUUUCUCCCUCCUUUCUCCUCUUCUCUUUUCUCCACUUAUUCCUCCAUCUCCUCCUCCUUCUCUCCAUCCACUUCUCCUCCUUAUCCUCCUCCUCCAAGCCGUCCAUAAACCAUUCUUCUUCAUGGUGGUCUCCACCUCCAUCUCUUCUUCCCCCCAUUCUCUUCUCCUCUUUUUUCUCUUUUUCUAUCCUAUUCCUUGCCGUCAAUCCC